AACUCCGCCUGAAACAGAAGGUAGGUUUGGGCUAUUUUACACUGACGCAGCUCAUCAGCGUUAUUACUGUGCAUGGUGUAGUUUUCACGUAUCAAGGACAAUACACGGAGCUUCUGAAAUGUUUAACAGCAUCAUCAUUAUGAUUUAAUUUUUAAAGAACAUAGCCUCUUCUCUAGCCAUGGAAAUGUUUUUUUUUUUUUAAGUUUACAUUGUCACAAAGCAGCUGUACAGAUAUCUGGAUAUCUUAUUUCAAUAUCCAUUCUUAAACACGAUAGAUGAACAAACAAAGAAACUAACCACAUGAAAAGGUUAGAUAGACCAAUGAUUAAAUACUACUCCGUUCAAAUGAAUACAGAGGCCUGCUCAGAUACCACAACGUUUAAAAACCUCCACAUUUGCGGCGUCAUAAAGGGAACAAACGUCAAGCAUACCAGCAGGAAACUUAUAGAACUCUGAACGUGACGUCAUAACAGAGCUUAUGGCUCGCUGCUCCGAUUUCACUAUAUGUCUGUGCGCGCGCGCGCCAGGGAGACUGACAUAGACGCGUCAUAUCAUUCUCAUCACUACUCCUACGUAACUUCAUGUGUUUCCUUGGUGGCCUCGUCUAUUUCGCUCGAGAAUAUCCACAAAUAGGGAACCAGAUUACAAAGAUAAAGUUCUUGCCCAGAACUCCGCUUCUGGAAAAUUGCCGUUCCCGAAUUUGGACACACGAGGGCAGUCAAGCUCCAUCCAGCACAACGCCGCCUGAAACAGAAGAAUACCGCUGCUGGGAAAUUGCCUUUCCCGAGGUUGGGCACACGAGAGCAGGCAAGCUCCAUCCAGCGCAACACACAACGCCG